CAGUAGCCGCGGGAAUACGUAGGGUGCAAGCGUUAAUCGGAAUUACUGGGCGUAAAGCGUGCGCAGGCGGUUCGUUAAGACAGAUGUGAAAUCCCCGGGCUUAACCUGGGAACUGCAUUUGUGACUGGCGGGCUAGAGUAUGGCAGAGGGGGGUAGAAUUCCACGUGUAGCAGUGAAAUGCGUAGAGAUGUGGAGGAAUACCGAUGGCGAAGGCAGCCCCCUGGGCCAAUACUGACGCUCAUGCACGAGAGCGUGGGGAGCAAACAGGAUUAGAUACCCGAGUAGUCCCUGUCUCUUAUAC
rnacentral:rRNA from 1 species